UACGAAGGACCCGAGCGUUAUCCGGAUUUAUUGGGCUUAAAGGGUGCGUAGGCGGCUUUACAAGUCAGUGGUGAAAUCUCCCAGCUUAACUGGGAAACUGCCAUUGAAACUGUUUAUCUUGAGUACAUUUGAGGCGGGCGGAAUGUGUCAUGUAGAGGUGAAAUUCUUAGAUAUGACACAGAACACCAAUUGCGAAGGCAGCGCGCUAAACUGUAACUGACGCUGAGGCACGAAAGCGUGGGGAUCAAACAGG
rnacentral:rRNA from 1 species